GACGUAGGUGGCGAACGUUAUCCGGAAUUAUUGGGCGUAAAGGGUGCGUAGGUGGCCUGACAAGUUUAUCAGUGGCAAAUCGAGGCUCAACCUCGUGGAAACUGGUAAUACUGUUCGGCUUGAGUACAGGAGAGGUUAACGGAACUCUAUGUGGAGCGGUAAAAAUGCACAGAUAUAUAGAAAGAACUCAAAUAAAAGGCGAAAGGCCAG
rnacentral:rRNA from 1 species